CUAUACAUGCAGUCGAACGCGUUGGCCCAAUUAGAUUGAUGGUGCUUGCACCUGAUUGAUUUUGGUCGCCAACGAGUGGCGGACGGGUGAGUAACACGUAGGUCACCUGCCCAGAAGCGGGGGACAACAUUUGGAAACAGAUGCUAAUACCGCACAACAACGUUGUUCGCAUGAACAACGCUUAAUAGAUGGCUUCUCGCUAUCACUUCUGGAUGGACCUGCGGUGCAUUAGCUUGUUGGUGGGGUAAUGGCCUACCAAGGCGAUGAUGCAGAGCCGAGUUGAGAGACUGAUCGGACACAAUGGGACUGAGACACGGCCCAUACUCCUACGGGAGGCAGCAGUAGGGAAUCUUCCACAAUGGGCGCAAGCCUGAUGGAGCAACACCGCGUGAGUGAAGAAGGGUUUCGGCUCGUAGAGCUCUGUUGUUAAAGAAGAACACGUAUGAGAGUAACUGUUCAUACGUUGACGGUAUUUAACCAGAAAGUCACGGCUAACUACGUGCCAGCAGCCGCGGUAAUACGUAGGUGGCAAGCGUUAUCCGGAUUUAUUGGGCGUAAAGAGAGUGCAGGCGGUUUUCUAAGUCUGAUGUGAAAGCCUUCGGCUUAACCGGAGAAGUGCAUCGGAAACUGGAUAACUUGAGUGCAGAAGAGGGUAGUGGAACUCCAUGUGUAGCGGUGGAAUGCGUAGAUAUAUGGAAGAACACCAGUGGCGAAUGCGGCUACCUGGUCUGCAACUGACGCUGAGACUCGAAAGCAUGGGUAGCGAACAGGAUUAGAUACCCUGGUAGUCCAUGCCGUAGACGAUGAGUGCUAGGUGUUGGAGGGUUUCCGCCCUUCAGUGCCGGAGCUAACGCAUUAAGCACUCCGCCUGGGGAGUACGACCGCAAGGUUGAAACUCACAGGAAUUGACGGGGGCCCGCACAAGCGGUGGAGCAUGUGGUUUAAUUCGAAGCUACGCGAAGAACCUUACCAGGUCUUGACAUCUUG
rnacentral:rRNA from 1 species